ACAAGUGUUACUUGAAGAAGGUACCAUUCCGUGGAGUAAACUGUAGUGAUGCAGCUGGUCGUGAGAUCAACUACUCAUAUAUCAUACAACUCUUAAAAAAGUCUACAUCAGGUCGUAUAUUUGACAAAUCCACAAUGACGCCGUACUUCAAUUAUCUGAACACUUCUUCGGGUGUCAUGCAUCAGAUACGAUACGAUGAUCCGCAAAGCCUGACCUUUAAAUAUAACUUCGCUGUUGACAAGAACUUACGUGGCGUCGGGAUGUGGAACUCGGAGUGUGUGAACUAUACAAGCCCGCUAAAGGAUGAUAUUUUGGCUGUGAAACAAAUGUGGGAUGCACUUCCGGACUACAAUAACUAAUAUUGUUGAAAAAUAUACCGUAAAAUAUUAAACAUUAAAUUGAAAAUAAAACAGAUGAUAUUAUGCAGAAUGAAUUCUUUGUGUUUUUAGUUACGUUAUUGUAAAACAAACAUGAUAUGAUUAAAUCGACCUUAUCAUGAUAUAUAUCAUACCGAUAAAUAUAGUAUUAAAUGGCUGAUAUGCAA
rnacentral:lncRNA from 1 species